rnacentral:rRNA from 1 species
UGGGGAAUAUUGGACAAUGGGCGCAAGCCUGAUCCAGCCAUGCCGCGUGUGUGAAGAAGGUCUUCGGAUUGUAAAGCACUUUAAGUUGUGAAGAAGGGUGGAAGUAACGACUCCAUCUUGACAUUAGCAACAGAAUAAGCACCGGCUAACUUCGUGCCAGCAGCCGCGGUAAUACGAAGGGUGCAAGCGUUAAUCGGAAUAACUGGGCGUAAAGCGCGCGUAGGUGGUUAAUCAAGUUGGAUGUGAAAUCCCCGGGCUCAACCUGGGAACUGCAUCCAAAACUGAUUGACUAGAGUAUGGUAGAGGUUAGUGGAAUUUCCUGUGUAGCGGUGAAAUGCGUAGAUAUAGGAAGGAACACCAGUGGCGAAGGCGACUAACUGGACUGAUACUGACACUGAGGUGCGAAAGCGUGGGUAGCAAACA